rnacentral:rRNA from 1 species
UACAGAGGUCCCGAGCGUUGUUCGGAUUCACUGGGCGUAAAGGGUGCGUAGGUGGCUGGGAAAGUUUGAUGUGAAAGCUCAGGCUUAACCCUGAAAUGGCAUUGAAUACUACUUAGCUGGAGGUUUGGAGGGGGGACUGGAAUUCUUGGUGUAGCAGUGAAAUGCGUAGAUAUCAAGAGGAACACCAGUGGCGAAGGCGAGUCCCUGGACAACACCUGACACUGAGGCACGAAAGCUAGGGGAGCAAACAGG